rnacentral:rRNA from 1 species
UACAGAGGUGGCAAGCGUUGUUCGGAAUUACUGGGCGUAAAGGGCGAGUAGGCGGCCCUCUAAGUCAGACGUGAAAUCCCCAGGCUCAACUUGGGAACUGCGUCUGAUACUGGUUGGCUUGAGUUUGGGAGAGGGAUGCGGAAUUCCAGGUGUAGCGGUGGAAUGCGUAGAGAUCCGGAAGAACACCGGAGGCGAAGGCGGCUUGCUGGGCUCGGUCUGACGCUGAGGCGCGAAAGCGUGGGGAGCGAACAGG